UAAAUUUACAUGGAUUUAUUGCUGUACAAGAGGUUGAAAUAAUUGAAGAGGUUUAAGUGACAAAUCUCCCUAAUCAACACAAGUAAUUUAUCUCUCUCAUAUUCCUUUGAAACAAAGUAUUCUAAAUGAAUUUCCACUUUUAAUUGCUCUACUAACUGAACAUGGCACAUUUUGCAUUCAAUUAAGGGAGAGUUUGUUGACCAAACUGAAUGAAAUUAUAACUUUUUUGCAAAACCAAGAGUAUUUAUUUUCAUUAUUUUAAAAAACUG
rnacentral:lncRNA from 1 species